AAAGAUAUAGCAUAUUCUUCUGAAUAUACUUUAUUAACCCAUUUCGAGUACCUUACCCGCUGCUUCCGCGAGGCUGUCCUCACGGCCCUCUGAAGAUUUAUCUUUGGGGAGUCCUUGCGGAAGGUAUACAAUAAACUCUUGCAUUACCAUGUCAUCUGUCUGAAUCUGUUUAAAACAAAUAUUA
rnacentral:misc_RNA from 1 species